UACGUAGGGUGCGAGCGUUGUCCGGAAUUACUGGGCGUAAAGAGCUCGUAGGUGGUUUGUCGCGUUGUUCGUGAAAACUCACAGCUCAACUGUGGGCGUGCGGGCGAUACGGGCAGACUGGAGUACUGCAGGGGAGACUGGAAUUCCUGGUGUAGCGGUGGAAUGCGCAGAUAUCAGGAGGAACUCCGGUGGCGAAGGCGGGUCUCUGGGCCGUUACUGACGCUGAGGUGCGAAAGCGUGGGGAGCAAACAGG
rnacentral:rRNA from 1 species